UGGGGAAUAUUGCACAAUGGGCGCAAGCCUGAUGCAGCCAUGCCGCGUGUAUGAAGAAGGCCUUCGGGUUGUAAAGUACUUUCAGCGAGGAGGAAGGCACUAAGGUUAAUAACCUUAGUGAUUGACGUUACUCGCAGAAGAAGCACCGGCUAACUCCGUGCCAGCAGCCGCGUAUACGAGGGUGCGAAGCAGUUAAUCGGAAUUACUGGGCGUAAAGCGCACGCAGGCGGUCUGUCAAGUCGGAUGUGAAAUCCCCGGGCUCAACCUGGGAACUGCAUUCGAAACUGGCAGGCUAGAGUCUUGUAGAGGGGGUAGAAUUCCAGGUGUAGCGGUGAAUUGCGUAGAGAUCUGGAGGAAUACCGGUGGCGAAGGCGGCCCCCUGACAGAGACUGACGCUCAGGUGCGAAAGCGUGGGAGCAAACA
rnacentral:rRNA from 1 species